rnacentral:misc_RNA from 1 species
GAUGAAGAACGUAGCGAAAUGCGAUAAGUAAUGUGAAUUGCAGAAUUCCGUGAAUCAUCGAAUCUUUGAACGCACAUUGCGCCCCCUGGCAUUCCGGGGGGCAUGCCUGUCCGAGCGUCAUUUCUGCCCUCCGGCCCGGCUGGGUGUUGGGCGCUGUCCCCCCGGGGACACGCCCCAAAGGCAGUGGCGGCGCCGCGUCGGGUCCUCGAGCGUAUGGGGCUUUGUCACCCGCUCGGGACGGACUCGUCGGCGCUGGUCUUCCUCCAGGCGACCCUUCGGGGCUCGUCUUCCUUCGGUUGACCUCGGAUCAGGUAGGGUUACCCGCUGAACUUAAGCAUAUCAAUAAGCGGAGGA